UCCUCUCUACUCGGGAACAGUACUUUUCAAGGCAGUUCGUAGUUAACAGUCGGAGGCAUAAAGUCAGAAGACAUUCCCAGAAUGUUGUGUCAACCAGCAGUCUGUUGUACUCUGAAUUACAUUGAUUUGUGCAAUUGGCAAUGUGCACAAGUCUAUAUGCAGUCAAUCUAGCGUCUCCUUCCAGAAAAAUGUGGAAAAGAGGUAGAUCUAGAAGGAUCUCUAUGGCCGCUGACGGUGGCCACUGAUGGCCAGACAAGUCUGUCUCUGUCGAGGUGAAAUGAAGCGCAUAUUUUUAUUUCUUUAGUUAGGUACUUUAUUGUCUUAAGGGUAUAAAUCAAUGAUAAAGCACUUGCGUCUCAAUCAGUGUUGUUGUUAGUAAAUUAUACUUGGGCUAAAAAUCAAAAUGGUCAUUUUAGUUUUCUCUCCAAUAAAACGAAUGAGAAAAGAUUAUUAUUCUAGAUGUACUUAUAUGAUGCUCUCAUACACCACCGUUGAUAUUCUGAUGGAAAUAUAUUUGCAAAUAACUGGAGUUCCAAAAUCAUCGAUAUAUAAAUUAAAGAAUGAGAGAAAAAAUGAAGCUGUGAAAUCAGCAAUACCAUCUUAAGGAAGAGAUACUGUGACUGUUCAUGGAGACUACAAACUUUCAAUUAGAUGAACAUGUUUCAGUUGGCAUUUUUUCAACCUUUCUGGAAUAAUAAUUUGCAUUAUCUAUCACACUUACAGAGUUAGGAAUGCGAUCUAACAUUUGCUCAGAAUAAUCUUCAAACACAUCGCCAUUCAUGUCUUCACGAUAAUCGCCAAAAUGCUUUGACUCAACAUCAAUAAACGGCCCUCAACAAAACCAUCAACACUUUCAAUGUGGGUAAUAAUCAAUAAUUUUUGGAAAUAAAUAAAGGUUUUUGGAAUCUUACAAAGAAAGAAAGGAAGCAAUUUCAAAAAAGUUAUCUUUAAGUAAGGAGAAUAGACGGGUCUGGACCUUCCCCCAACUGUAAUCCCUCCAGUGCCAGCAGACGACUGUGAUUUUAACCCCCUUUUCUAUUCUCCGCCUAUAAAUUGGCCUUGAGUUGCGUGUAACAUAAUGAGCUGGAACACUUUUUUUAAUCUCCGCUCAUGACUUGGUAUCGAGUUGCGUGUGACUUCAUAACCGUGAACCCCUUUUUUACUCCCCGUCUAUGAUUUGGCCUUUAGUUGUGUGGUCGCACGUCACAUGACCUUGGAACAAUCCUAACCGAUCUUGAGCUAUGUCCUUGAUACAUAACCUUGAGUUUAAGUGAGUUUGAAAGAUUGUGUUAGAUUUAGAAUGUAUGUUUUUAUAAUUCCCUCUGUAUAUAGAUUUUCUAUUUAGUUUAUGUGAUGGCUGAUAAUAUUUUUAGUUGAAUCAAGUUUGUUAGUAUGUCCCACUUGUAUAGGUUCAGUUUAAACCACAAGUCUUAGUUAAACUUUGGUUUAACGAAUAAAGUUCGUUGUAUAGGUGUUUGUGACUGCCAUUCGGAGUUUAACUGUCAACUGAUGGAUGGAGGGGCAGUUAAACUACAAGCGUUGGUUAAACACUAAACACAUGUUCGGAUUGAAUACUGAUGUGUCAACUAUUUGUGGUUACUUUAUGUAUUAUAACCUAUAAAUAUUUGACGCGUCCAGAUAUUUUCUUAGUGGAUAUAUUUGAAAUAUUUGAAGAUGUAUUAUUUGAAGAGGAAGAUGAGAUAGAUGUUAUAAAUAUUGUGGAAAACCCAAGAAGACCGCGACUUUUUCUACCGCGAAUCGACACCAUGGACAUUUGGAUAGACCAGGAAUUUAUCAAUAGGUUCAGGAUGUCGAAAGCAUCUGUAGGGGUAUUAAUUCAAGAAAUUGGCCUAAAUUUGCAUAGGAAUACACCACAGCAUCAUGCUGAAUGUAGCGGCAGACUUUGGAGGAAUUGACACUAGCACAUCAUCACGUGUUGUUCGUGAUGUAUCGAGAGAAAUAGCGAGAUUGUCACCUAUGUAUAUUAGGAUGCCUAUGACGAAUGAGGAACUAAAGGAAACCCAAACAGACUUCUAGAAUAUAGCCAAUUUUUCUAAUGUUAUUGGUGCUGUGGACUGCACCCAUAUUAGGAUUCAAUCUCCAGGUGGAGAAAAUGUUGUAAACUUUCGUAACAGGAAAGGCUAAUUUUCAAUUAAUGUUCAGACUGUGUCUGAUGCUAACUUACACAUAAGGAUUUUCAAAAACUACACCUGACGAUUUGAUCUCCACAAACUUUAUUUGAAAAGUAUAUCACAACAUGUUUCGCUGAAAUAUUAGUUUUUUCAAGUGAUUUCAAGUGAUUAUACAUAAGGAAUAUAGUUGCUCGCUGGCCUAGAUCAGCUAAUGAUAGACUCAUUUACAGUAAUAGCUGAUUGAAGGCUCAGCUCAACGGUGGGAUGUAUGGAAAUAGUUUCAUUGUAGAUGAUUCAGGCUAUACCCUGGACAACCAUGUAAUGAUUCCAGUAGCAAAUCCAAACACUGCUGCUGAAAAUCUUUAUAACGAAUCCCAAAUAAGAACCCGUAAUGUUGUAGAGCAACAAUAUGGAGUAUGGAAAAGAAGAUUUCAAGUUUUGAGACUAUAAAUGAGGGUGUUAUUGAACACCAUUUUAGCCAUUAUAGUAGCUACGGGGGUAUUACAUAAUAUUGCUCUUAGCCAGAAUGAUCCCGACUCACAAGCCGACAAUCCCAUUGAACAAGAAGCAGAUGUGGGAAGACAUUAAUGAAGAACACAUUCAAGAAAAUGGACAUUUCACCAGACAAAACUUGAUACAUGAUUAUUUUGUGAAUUUGUUGAAUUAAAUGUGAUCGCAGGUCUCUAUUUACUAAUAUACCUAAUAAAAAAACGCUUU
rnacentral:lncRNA from 1 species